CUUUAUUUCGUUGUAUUUAGUAAUUCCAACAUAUAUUUGAUAAUGACAAAUCAAAUGUAUUUGUAUUAAGUUCCAUUUUUAUGCAUGAUAGUGACGCAUUUCUUGCUUGCAUAUGGCCAUUGAGGACUUCUUGUCCUUUAUUUUGCUCUUGUUUGUUUGUCUCUUAAUAAAGUUCUCUUUUGCUAUCAAAGAAUGUCACAGCUUAUUUUCAGUUGAAAUGUGUUAGAUCCCAGGUAAUUCCCAAAAUUAUUUGACUACAGAUGCUUUAGCAUGUCAAAUUAACAGGAAAAUGACACUGAAUUUGAAUAGGAAGAUUAUUUAUAUUGAAUGGAAGAAUUGCAACAGUAAUGCUAUGAAAAUAUAAGGCAGAUUCGAGAGCUGCCCUCUCUCCUAAGGACUCAGACCUUUCCUACUUUCGUCUCUACCUUCUAGACUCUACUAACUCAUAUUUAUUGAUCCCCUACUCUUAACAACCAUGACAUCAUCUAUACUCAACAAAUCUAACGACUAAGAUUCCCACUAACCCCUCUUACAUCCCCU
rnacentral:lncRNA from 1 species